AACGAACGCUGGCGGCAGGCCUAACACAUGCAAGUCGAGCGAACCCUUCGGGGUUAGCGGCGGACGGGUUAGUAACGCGUGGGAAUAUACCCUUUGGUACGGAAUAGCCUCGGGAAACUGAGAGUAAUACCGUAUGUGCCCUUCGGGGGAAAGAUUUAUCGCCAAAGGAUUAGCCCGCGUUGGAUUAGAUAGUUGGUGGGGUAAUGGCCUACCAAGUCUACGAUCCAUAGCUGGUUUGAGAGGAUGAUCAGCAACACUGGGACUGAGACACGGCCCAGACUCCUACGGGAGGCAGCAGUGGGGAAUCUUAGACAAUGGGCGCAAGCCUGAUCUAGCCAUGCCGCGUGGACGAUGAAGGCCUUAGGGUUGUAAAGUCCUUUUCAGAUGGGAAGAUAAUGACGGUACCAUCAGAAGAAGCCCCCGGCUAACUCCGUG
rnacentral:rRNA from 1 species